AUGGCGGCGACAAAAAAUAUCCCACAGCCUUCAUGCCUUAUAUAUAGAUCUAGACUGGACCAUACCUCUUGAUAAAGAAGAUGAACGCUGUAAUUGUUUUAGCUGCCAUUAUUGCCAGUGUUUUAGCUGCACCUUGUAAACACACCAACCACAGCAACUGGACAGAGAGACAGGUGAUUGAUCUGGUCGUAAAACACCUGGACCGAGAUGAUGAUGGCGUCUUAACAAAACUGAACAUAGCUAUUGACUUCGUCUUGAAAUAUGACCUGGACUUCCAAAAUGGGGUAGAGAAGAAAGAAUUUAUCACUCAAUGGUUCAAAACCUAUCAUGAUGAGAAAGCCUUCGCUGAACAUGUCUUCAAAAACCUGGAUUUGGAUAAUUCUGGAAGCUUGGACACGGUUGACGUUGAGCUUUUGGUCACGAAAGUUGAUACUGAUGCCGAUGGUUUGGUUACUACGACUGAGUUCAGAGAAUUUUUACUUAAUAUCUACAAUGCUUGUUAAAAUGGUUGAUAUCCGAG